rnacentral:rRNA from 1 species
AGCGAAUAGAUACCCGGGUAGUCCAUGCCGUAAACGUUGGGCACUAGGUGUGGGGGACAUUCCACGUUUUCCGCGCCGUAGCUAAACGCAUUAAGUGCCCCGCCUGGGGAGUACGGCCGCAAGGCUAAAACUCAAAGGAAUUGACGGGGGCCCGCACAAGCGGCGGAGCAUGCGGAUUAAUUCGAUGCAACGCGAAGAACCUUACCAAGGCUUGACAUGAACCGGAAAGACCUGGAAACAGGUCCCCACUUGUGGUCGGUUUACAGGUGGUGCAUGGUUGUCGUCAGCUCGUGUCGUGAGAUGUUGGGUUAAGUCCCGCAACGAGCGCAACCCUCGUUCUAUGUUGCCAGCACGUGAUGGUGGGGACUCAUAGGAGACUGCCGGGGUCAACUCGGAGGAAGGUGGGGACGACGUCAAAUCAUCAUGCCCCUUAUGUCUUGGGCUUCACGCAUGCUACAAUGGCCGGUACAAAGGGUUGCGAUACUGUGAGGUGGAGCUAAUCCCAAAAAGCCGGUCUCAGUUCGGAUUGGGGUCUGCAACUCGACCCCAUG